rfam:Picea glauca, whole genome shotgun sequence.
AAACCGGAUUUACUUAAAUCCAACUAAAUUAACUCCAUAAAAUCUAU